GCGAGGUGGAGGUUGCAGUGAGCUGAGAUUGCACAACACCACUCCAGGCUAAGCAAAAGAGUGAGACUCCAUCUCAAAAAAUAAAAGAGGAAACUGCAGAACCUAAGUUUUAAUAACCACUGGAACCCCUAGAGCCGAGCAAAGAACUCUAGGAAUUCAAAGGAGAUGAGGGUCUGUCUCAGGAGCUCACCUAGAAGGGUAGGUGGGGUUUGGACAGACAGAAACAGGGAAAGACUAUUAUCAGAGGUACAAUAAAUGGAUGCAGUGGGCAUCUGUUAUGCCCAGCAGCUUUCAUUCUAUCUACUCAACUUUCUAUUGAGGAACUACUUAAACCCCCUUAUUCCAGUCUUGGUAGAACUGAUAGGCUGCCUUGCCCUCUGUACGUCAAGAGGUGAACGUACUAUGCAAGCAAGGACAUUCAUAGAAUUUUUGCCAGGAAUUUGAUCAGAAUGAACCAAGGAAAGAGAAUAGUUAGAGCUGCUCAAGACUCUUCUUUAGCAGAGACUGUCAGUAAGGUGCUAUUCCCUUGGUACCCUGAGCUACUCCUGAUACUCUCUUUCCCAAGCUGGGUGGCUCAUUUUUGUCCACUGACUCUGUGAACCACCCCACAUUAUUCUAACAAAUUCUCUUUUUUGGCUUGGUUUAGCUAGAAUCACUUCUGUCGCAUUCAGCCAGAGACCCCUAAAUGGUAGAUUAACAAAGACUUAGAGAAGAAAAAACAAGAUUUGUUUGGGUGGCAAUGAAGAGUCUGUCUGUAGGCUGCAUACUAGAAAGCUUGUAGUUGGAAAUAAAGUUGGAAAGGAUGCUUGGCUCUGGAAUGUGAGGGACCUUAACUGCUAAUCUCAACAGAUCCAUCAAAGCCAAAUUUUAGAAAGAUUAAGUGGGAGAAAGAGCAGGGAAACCAAGGCGGUUAGUAACAUAGCUUCUUUUAUAAAUUCUUGCACUGUCUUGCGUUAUUUAUUUAACUUACCUUCAUGAUGCCAAGGUUUUGGAAACUCAUUAUAUAUGCCAAGUUUUUGGAAACUUAUUAUAUAUGUCUAUACUCAUUAUAGUGUAGGACUGUAAAGAUGAUUAAGACAUGGUUCUUGUCUUCCCAGAGCCCCUAAGCUGAAAGAUUGUUCAUGUGAGGGAUAAAUCAAUAGGAUUACAUAAGAGUUAUAGAUAUUUUAUGUACAAGAGAGUGAUUAACUCUUAUGCUGGGUGAGGAAAGGCUUCAAAGAAGUGAUGAUUUCUGAAGAGAGUUUUGAAUAGAGAUUUGCCAGGUGGGCCUGGUGGAGAUGGGCAUAAGCAGUGGGAUUACAGGAUUGAAGGCCUGGAAAUAUAUCAGCAUUAGAGAUAAAGAUUUAGUAUCAUAAAUACAUAAUAUGGUCAUUUUAAAAUGGAUGAAAUUGCCCAGGGACAUAGACGAUAGUUAUAAAAGAAGAAAGACAAGGACUGAACUCCAGGGAACGUCAGCAGUUAAAAGAUGGCCUGACAAAUAAAAUGCCUAGCAGAGGACCGUGAGGUAUAGGAGUGAGCAUUCAGGAGAAUUACCAGACCAGGGCGCCAUGGGAGCCGAUAGAGGAGAAAGUUACAGGAUGGGAGAAGGAAAGUGUAAGAAGCCACAAGAUUGAAUAAAAACAGGACCUAAGAAUGUCUAUUAGUUUGGGGAAAAGAAGGGCUAUUAUCUAGUGAGAGUAAUUUCAGUGGAAUGGUGGGGGCAGGAAUUAGUUUACAGGGAGUGGAUGGGGACAUGAGGAGGGGAAACAGAGUCUACCCUUGCUUUCAGGAAAACUGGCUGGUGAUGAGAGGGAUAUUAGCAAGGGGUAAUACAGGUCAAGGGAGGCUUCUUUCUUUGUUUUGUUUUGCUAAUGAGAAAACUGCUGCUCAUUAGUCCUGGAGGUCUGUGGCAUGGACUUUCCUAUCAACUGAAUAUCUUAAAGAGAACAAGCUGUUCCUUCUGAUAUGUAAAUACACAAUCUCACUUUUGAUCCAAGAUAGGCUGUUUUAUUCUGUAUUUUUCUCUAUCACAAAAAUAUAGUGCUAUUCUAACUGUAACUGUGUGAAGAUACUGAAAGGAUUGAAAUGUCCCAGAAGCAAAUGAAUUUGGGAUCAAAUAUUAAAUAUUUAACCUGGCCAUAUGUAGAUUAACUUUUCAAGGAGGGAAAAUCAAGUUGAAUUCUAAUCCCAAAUGCAUAUUUUUCUUAGGGAGAAAUAUUUUGAGUACACGUAAAACACCUUAGGUGGCAACUGCCUCCCUCCAUAGUUUGGAGAUAACAGAGGGAAAGGGUUAGGAUUAGCAGAAUCUACUAAUAAUCUGAUCAUUGUUUUAGUGAAAUAAUAAUUUCUACUAAAGAGUCCCCCCUUAGGCUUGGCUGUCCUUCUGAAGGUUGGCCAGCUAGUAGAUGUUGUGUCCAUUUCAAGCUUCAUGACUUUUCUAGUCUAGCUUGUUAGUUUCAUUGGAGGCUCCCAUGUGAAAUAAAGAACCCAGUUUGAAAUAAAGAACAAGAAAGCUAUCGGCUCAAGAAACCAAACUAUGAUACAGUCAAGCUUUUGUAAACUCAAGCCAUUUCAGUUAUUUCAAGCCGGGAACUAACUAUAUACCUCUCUCUGUGUCUCAGUUGUGUUUCUUUUUCAUUGCAGGCUUUAUUUUCAGCCAUUGCAUACUUGCUUUCUUCUUGGAGCUGGACCAAUGGAUGCCAGCAGCUUCUAGGCUCAUUUUCUCGUUACCAGGAGAGAGGAAAAGACUUUCCCCUUGCUCUAGAACUUUGAUUGUUAUCCUUGGGUCAUAUACCUAUCCCACCCCUCACCCCCAGAUGGGUGUAGCCAGAGGAUUGCGUUACUAAAAUUAGUCCAGUUAGGAUUAGAUGGCCAUCAUUUGCCGAGUCAUCGUGACUGAAGAAGCAGAGUCUUUAGGGAGAUAGCAUUUUCCAUUGCCCUGCUUGGUGAGGAAGGAGGUCCUUGAAGAGUAGGGGCUGUUGCCUGAGAAGAGAAGAAUGCUAGGCAGACAAAAACUAGAGACGUUCAAUACAUUUGGUUUGCACAAAACUUAACUAGGGUAUGUGAACAGGUAGUCUGACUGGUUGGAAUGAGGGUAUGUGAAAGCUUUCUGAAAUUAUCUGCCAGGACAUGUCUCUCCUAGAGAAGGGAAUUACAGUUGGGUUAUAACUUGAUUGUAUUAGAAAAAUAAACCAUCCUACAGAGACUUAGCACUUUACAAUAUAAAAGUAAUUUCACUUGCAUCAAGCUUAUUGGAGCUAAAAGUAAUUCAGUAGAUAUUUUUUAUUUCCAUUUUAGAGAAUACAGACUGAGUCUUAG